AGAGUUUGAUCCUGGCUCAGGAUGAACGUUGGCGGCGUGCCUAACACAUGCAAGUCGAACGGAAAUAGCAAUAUUUGAGUGGCGCACGGGUGAGUAACACGUAGCUAAUCUACCUCAAAGCGCGGGAUAACGUGUCGAAAGACAGGCUAAUACCGCAUAAGCUCACGAUCUGCAGAGGGUUGUGAGAAAAGGCUUCGGUCACUUUGAGAUGAGGCUGCGGCCCAUCAGCUAGUUGGUGCGGUAACGGCGUACCAAGGCGACGACGGGUAGGGGACCUGAGAGGGUGACCCCCCACACUGGGACUGAGACACGGCCCAGACUCCUACGGGAGGCAGCAGUGAGGAAUAUUGCACAAUGGGCGAAAGCCUGAUGCAGCGACGCCGCGUGGGUGAAGAAGGUUUUCGGAUCGUAAAACCCUUUUCUGUGUGACGAGAACGGACGGUAGCACAGGAAUAAGUCUCGGCUAACUACGUGCCAGCAGCCGCGGUAAAACGUAGGAGACAAACGUUAUCCGGAGUUACUGGGCGUAAAGGGCGUGUAGGUGGUUUUGUAAGUCUGGCGUGAAAUAUCUCGGC
rnacentral:rRNA from 1 species